ACUGCUUGCUUUGCUGGUGCCUAGAGCCGGCCCUGGAAGCAAGUAAAAACAGGAAAAUGAAGGAGGAAGAAAAAAACUUAACAAAGCUUGGGAUAGAUUAUGCAUCCUUCCAAAACCCUGACCACUUUCCGAAGGAAAACAGUUACAUUACAGAUAGGUCCUACAGACUCUGAGCAUGCAAGCCCUGAGCAUGUCUGCCUCAUUAUCAGAGUGAGAUCUUCAGAAUGGGAGAGAUCCUCUGUGGAGAAACCAGGAGAUAUUGAAAAGGCAGAAUGAACAACAGACUGGGGCCUGGUCUACACUACGACUUUAAUUCGGAUUUAUCAGCUUUAAUUCGAAUUAACCCUGCAACCGUCCACACAACGACGCUAUUUAUUUCGAUGUAAAGGGCCCUUUAAAUCGAUUUCUGUACUCCACCCCGACAAGCGGAGUAGUGCCAAAAUCGAUUUUAGCAAUUCGAAUUAGGGUUAGUGUGGCCGCAAUUCGAUGGUAUUGGCCUCCGGGAGCUAUCCCAC